rnacentral:rRNA from 1 species
UACAGAGGGUGCGAGCGUUAAUCGGAAUUACUGGGCGUAAAGCGCACGUAGGCGGCUUGGUAUGUCGGGUGUGAAAUCCCCGGGCUCAACCUGGGAACUGCAUCCGAAACUGCCUUGCUCGAGUAUGGGAGAGGGAAGUGGAAUUUCCGGUGUAGCGGUGAAAUGCGUAGAUAUCGGAAGGAACAUCAGUGGCGAAGGUGACUUCCUGGACCAAUACUGACGCUCAGGUGCGAAAGCGUGGGGAGCAAACAGG